UACGUAGGGGGCGAGCGUUGUCCGGAAUGACUGGGCGUAAAGGGCGUGUAGGCGGCUUUUUAAGUCUGGAGUGAAAGUCCUGCUUUCAAGGUGGGAAUUGCUUAGGAUACUGGAGAGCUUGAGUGCGGAAGAGGUAAGUGGAAUUCCCAGUGUAGCGGUGAAAUGCGUAGAGAUUGGGAGGAACACCAGUGGCGAAGGCGACUUACUGGGCCGUAACUGAUGCUGAGGCGCGAAAGCGUGGGGAGCGA
rnacentral:rRNA from 1 species